GACGAACGCUGGCGGCGUGCUUAACACAUGCAAGUCGAACGAUGGACCGGAGCUUGCUCUGGGGAUUAGUGGCGAACGGGUGAGUAACACGUGGGCAACCUGCCCCAGACACCGGGAUAACCAUUCGAAAGGAUGGCUAAUACUGGAUACCACCUCCCUCGGCAUCGGGGGAGGUUGAAAGUUCUUCGGUCAGGGAUAGGCCCGCGGCCUAUCAGCUAGUUGGUGAGGUAGCGGCCCACCAAGGCGACGACGGGUAGCCGGCCUGAGAGGGCGACCGGCCACACUGGGACUGAGACACGGCCCAGACUCCUACGGGAGGCAGCAGUGGGGAAUAUUGCGCAAUGGGCGAAAGCCUGACGCAGCAACGCCGCGUGAGGGAUGACGGCCUUCGGGUUGUAAACCUCUUUCAGCAGGGACGAAGCGAAAGUGACUGUACCUGCAGAAGAAGCGCCGGCUAACUACGUGCCAGCAGCCGCCGUAACAC
rnacentral:rRNA from 1 species